CCCUCCGAGUCGUCAUCUGGGGCAGGAGCGGGGGACCCAUCCUCCACACCGGCCAGCACCGAACCGCGGUGCCGGCCUAGGGGUGAAGUCCGCAGCGUGAAGGUCACGCCGCGGGCCGGGCAGCCCAGCCCGAACCCGACAGCUCACUUCGCAGGCGUACGGGAAGGAAUA
rnacentral:sRNA from 1 species